rnacentral:rRNA from 1 species
UACGUAGGGCGCGAGCGUUGUCCGGAUUUAUUGGGCGUAAAGAGCUCGUAGGCGGCUUGUCGCGUCGACUGUGAAAACCCGCGGCUCAACUGUGGGCUUGCAGUCGAUACGGGCAGGCUGGAGUUCGGUAGGGGAGACUGGAAUUUACGGUGUAGCGGUGAAAUGCGUAGAUAUCGUAAGGAAGACCAGUGGCGAAGGCGGGUCUCUGGACAGUUCCUGACGCUGAGGCACGAAGGUCAGGGGAGCAAACGGG